rnacentral:pre_miRNA from 1 species
UUAUUACUCCCACCGUCCCAAAAUUCUUGUCUUAAAUUUGUCUAGAUACGGAUGUACCUAAUACUAAAACAUGACUUGAUACAUUCGUAUUUAGACAAAUCUAAGACAAGAAUUUUGGGACGCAGGGAGUGUUGA